rnacentral:rRNA from 1 species
GACGAACGCUGGCGGCGUGCCUAACACAUGCAAGUCGAGCGAGGAGAGUUCCUUCGGGAACAACCUAGCGCGGACGGGUGAGUAACACGUGGGCAACCUGCCUUGUAGAGGGAAUAGCCUUCCGAAAGGAAGAUUAAUACCGCAUAACAUUACAGUUUCGCAUGAAACAGUAAUUAAAGGAGUAAUCCGCUACAAGAUGGGCCCGCGGCGCAUUAGCUAGUUGGUGAGGUAACGGCUCACCAAGGCGACGAUGCGUAGCCGACCUGAGAGGGUGAUCGGCCACACUGGGACUGAUACACGGCCCAGACUCCUACGGGAGGCAGCAGUGGGGAAUAUUGCACAAUGGGGGAAACCCUGAUGCAGCAACGCCGCGUGAGUGAUGAAGGCUUUCGGAUCGUAAAGCUCUGUCUUCGGGGACGAUAAUGACGGUACCCGAGGAGGAAGCCACGGCUAACUACGUG